AGCCCCGUGGUCUAAUGGCACGACACCAGGAUUCCCUGACACGUUGUAGCCUGGAGAAUGCGAGUUCGAUUCCCGCCGGCGCAG